ACGGAAGGCAGCAGUGGGGAAUAUUGCACAAUGGGCGAAAGCCCGAUGCAGCGACGCCGCGUGAGUGAAGAAGUAUUUCGGUAUGUAAAGCUCUAUCAGCAGGGAAGAAAAAUGACGGUACCUGACUAAGAAGCACCGGCUAAAUACGUGCCAGCAGCCGCGGUAAUACGUAUGGUGCAAGCGUUAUCCGGAUUUACUGGGUGUAAAGGGAGCGCAGGCGGUACGGCAAGUCUGAUGUGAAAGCCCGGGGCUCAACCCCGGUACUGCAUUGGAAACUGUCGAACUAGAGUGUCGGAGGGGUAAGCGGAAUUCCUAGUGUAGCGGUGAAAUGCGUAGAUAUUAGGAGGAACACCAGUGGCGAAGGCGGCUUACUGGACGAUAACUGACGCUGAGGCUCGAAAGCGUGGGGAGCAAACAGGAUUAGAUACCCUGGUA
rnacentral:rRNA from 1 species